rnacentral:rRNA from 1 species
UACGUAGGGUCCAAGCGCUAUCCGGAAUCACUGGGCGUAAAGAGUUUGUAGGCGGAAAUUUAAGUGAGAUGUGAAAUCUUGUGGCUCAACCAUAAGACGGUAUCUCAUACUGGGUUUCUAGAAGAUAGCAGAGGCAAGUGGAAUUAGUAGUGUAGCGGUAAAAUGCGUAGAUAUUACUAGGAACACCAAUGGCGAAGGCAGCUUGCUGGGCUAUUAUUGACGCUGAGAAACGAAAGCGUGGGGAGCGAACAGG